UACAGAGGGUGCGAGCGUUGUCCGGAAUCACUGGGCGUAAAGGGCGCGUAGGUGGCGGCAUAAGGCCGUGGUGAAAGUCUGGGGCUCAACCCCAGAUCGGCCGCGGCGACUGUGUUGCUAGGGCACCGUAGAGGCAGAUGGAAUUCCGGGUGUAGCGGUGGAAUGCGUAGAGAUCCGGAAGAACACCGGUGGCGAAGGCGGCCUGCUGGGCGGCGACUGACGCUGAGGCGCGACAGCGUGGGGAGCAAACAGG
rnacentral:rRNA from 1 species